AUACGUAGGGGGCGAGCGUUGUCCGGAAUGAUUGGGCGUAAAGGGCGCGUAGGCGGCGCGGUAAGUCUGGAGUGAAAGUCCUGCUUUCAAGGUGGGAAUUGCUUUGGAUACUGUCGCGCUUGAGUGCAGGAGAGGUUAUCGGAAUUCCCGGUGUAGCGGUGAAAUGCGUAGAGAUCGGGAGGAACACCAGUGGCGAAGGCGGGUAACUGGACUGCAACUGACGCUGAGGCGCGAAAGUGUGGGGAGCAAACAGGAUUAGAUACCCUGGUAGUCCACACUGUAAACGAUGAAUGCUAGGUGUAGGGGGUAUCGACCCCUUCUGUGCCGCAGUCAACACAAUAAGCAUUCCGCCUGGGGAGUACGGCCGCAAGGUUGAAACUCAAAUGAAUUGGCGGGG
rnacentral:rRNA from 1 species